UACGGGAGGCAGCAGUGGGGAAUAUUGCACAAUGGGCGCAAGCCUGAUGCAGCCAUGCCGCGUGUAUGAAAAGGCCUUCGGGUUGUAAAGUACUUUCAGUCGUGAGGAAGGUGUUAAGGUUAAUAACCUUAGCAAUUGACGUUAGCGACAGAAGAAGCACCGGCUAACUCCGUGCCAGCAGCCGCGGUAAUACGGAGGGUGCGAGCGUUAAUCGGAAUUACUGGGCGUAAAGGGCACGCAGGCGGUUAAUUAAGUUGGAUGUGAAUCCCCGGGCUUAACCUGGGAAUGGCAUUCAAGACUGGUUAGCUAGAGUCUUGUAGAGGGGGUAGAAUUCCAUGUGUAGCGGUGAAAUGCGUAGAGAUGUGGAGGAAUACCGGUGGCGAAGGCGGCCCCGUGGACAAAGACUGACGCUCAUGUGCGAAAGCGUGGGGAGCAAACAGGGAUUAGAUACC
rnacentral:rRNA from 1 species